GCUUGAUAUUCCAUGGUAUAAGCACCAAAAUAUGUACCAGUUCUUUUGAAAGUAAUAACAAAACUGUUUAUUAUUGAUUUAGAAUAAUAGAAACUGUAGCUAGGAGUCAUACUCAUAUAUACAUGGCAGGUAGUGGCAAAAUGCCUUAACCCAAAACCAUCCUACAGGACAAACAUACACAGAAAAUUGGUAGUGGACACUGGACAGAUGGGAAGAAUGCACCCAUUGCAGAGGAAAACUAGGAACCCCGAAUCUGUUUCUUCAAAGAAUGCGAUGAUUUGCUCAAGUGAAAGAGGCCAAUCUUUCCAGAGUAUCACUAACAAUCCUCAUUAAAGGUCUCUUAUCAGGGCUGAUGUGAACGCAGGCUAGAGCGAUGUCAAGUACUGCAAUCAUCUCAUCUCUCUUCUCCAAAUCAUGAACCAAGAAAGGAUCUAACACAUGAGAGAGUGGCUUGAUUUCUGUGCUAAGCUGAAUCCAUUGAACAAGACCCAUUUCUGAUGAACCUGUCUGCGUAACUGGUGACUUCCCAGAAAUCAUCUCCAGUAAAAUCACUCCGAACGAAUAAACAUCCCACUUCUGUGAUGGCUUGGAGGCUUUUGAGGCCUCAGGAGCUUCAUAGUAAGACAUAAUUGGGCUUGAAUUUGUUGCUGUGAGCGCAUAUGGAGACCCUUGUUGUGGUGUGCCCCUUGCCAUAUGUUCUAAAUUAACUACUAGUGAUUCUUCAGCUGUGUAAGCUAGACGAUUAAGUCCAAAAUCAGUGAUUCUUGGUUCCAUCUUCUCUCCAAGCAAAAUAUUGCUAGGCUUUAGAUUUCCAUGGACAUAUUUUUUGGGGCUGAAUUCAUGUAGAAAAGCCAAUCCCUUUGCCACUCCUUUCAUGAUUCUAAGACGAGUAGACCAAGAAAGAGGUUUGAAGUAUAUCAAUCCUGUUCUUCCAUGAAUUGCUGUGGCAAGUUCACCAUUGGGCAUGUAAUCAUAGAUUAGCAGCUUCUCAUUGAUACACCAGCAAUAAGCCAGAAGACUGACUAUGUUUGGAUGCCUAAUCUUUCCAAUUGAUUCCACUUCAGCUUGAAAGUCCCUGUACCUUUGAGAACCUCCAUCUUCCAGUCUUCUAACUGCUACAGUCGGUCCCUUUUCAAGGACAACUUUAUAGACAAUUCCUAUUCUGCUCUUUCCCAGAAGAAAAGCAGAAGCUUUCAGAAGUUGUUCGAGAUCAAAUUUAACCUGUGAGUCUAAGGGUAUGAAAAUGCAUUGCUCCAUAUUUUCUGAUAGAGACUCCAAGUCAUCUGUUCUGAAGCAGAACAUUUCCUUUCUAACUAUCGAUUUCUCUUCAAAAUUACUUUCCUUGACACGUUUGCCCCCUUUACAAACAUAGAAUUUCCUAUACCAAUAAGAGAACAGCACACUGAUGAAACAAAUUCCCAACACUGUACAGGCAACAAUUGUAAUCACAAAACAUCGGCCCCGGCCAGAGCUGCCUCUUGGAAAAAUUUGAGUAGGUUCAUAUAGUAAGGGUUCUGGUUUUGCAGGGCACACAGUUUUCAAUGGGAUCCCACAGAGGAGAGGGUUGCCCAUAAAAGCUGUUGGUCCUACAUUCAGUAGAACAUCAUUUAGUGGUAUGGCACCGCUGAGAUUGUUGUAAGAAAGAUUGAUAUAAACUGAUAUAGGAAGAUUUCCUAGACUUGCUGGGAUUGAACCAUUGAAAAGAUUGUGAGAUAGGUCAAGCACUCCUUGCAAGCUCGACAAAUUGCCUAGGUCGCUGGGGAUCAAACCACUAAAGAUAUUGAAUGAAAGAUCAAGUUUCUGAAGCAUUACCAAACUGGUUCCGAAC
rnacentral:misc_RNA from 1 species